GAUGAACGCUGGCGGCGUGCCUAAUACAUGCAAGUCGAGCGAACGGACGAGAAGCUUGCUUCUCUGAUGUUAGCGGCGGACGGGUGAGUAACACGUGGAUAACCUACCUAUAAGACUGGGAUAACUUCGGGAAACCGGAGCUAAUACCGGAUAAUAUUUUGAACCGCAUGGGUCAAAAGUGAAAGACGGUCUUGCUGUCACUUAUAGAUGGAUCCGCGCUGCAUUAGAUAGUUGGUAAGGUAACGGCUUACCAAGGCAACGAUGCAUAGCCGACCUGAGAGGGGGGUCGGCCACACUGGAACUGAGACGCGGUCCAGGCUCCUACGGGAGGCAGCAGUAGGGAAUCUUCCGCAAUGGGCGAAAGCCUGACGGAGCAACGCCGCGUGAGUGAUGAAGGUCUUCGGAUCGUAAAACUCUGUUAUUAGGGAAGAACAUAUGUGUAAGUAACUGUGCACAGCUUGACGGUACCUAAUCAGAAAGCCACGGCUAACUACGUG
rnacentral:rRNA from 1 species